AUUGAACGCUGGCGGCAGGCUUAACACAUGCAAGUCGAACGGUAACAUAAAGAAGCUUGCUUCUUUGAUGACGAGUGGCGGACGGGUGAGUAAUGCUUGGGAAUCUAGCUUAUGGAGGGGGAUAACUACGGGAAACUGUAGCUAAUACCGCGUAGAAUCGAGAGAUGAAAGUGUGGGACCUUCGGGCCACAUGCCAUAGGAUGAGCCCAAGUGGGAUUAGGUAGUUGGUGAGGUAAAGGCUCACCAAGCCGACGAUCUCUAGCUGGUCUGAGAGGAUGACCAGCCACACUGGGACUGAGACACGGCCCAGACUCCUACGGGAGGCAGCAGUGGGGAAUAUUGCGCAAUGGGGGCAACCCUGACGCAGCCAUGCCGCGUGAAUGAAGAAGGCCUUCGGGUUGUAAAGUCCUUUCGGUAGCGAGGAAGGCAUUUAGUUUAAUAGACUAGGUGAUUGACGUUAACUACAGAAGAAGCACCGGCUAACUCCGUGCCAGCAGCCGCGGUAAUACGGAGGGUGCGAGCGUUAAUCGGAAUAACUGGGCGUAAAGGGCACGCAGGCGGUGACUUAAGUGAGGUGUGAAAGCCCCGGGCUUAACCUGGGAAUUGCAUUUCAUACUGGGUCGCUAGAGUACUUUAGGGAGGGGUAGAAUUCCACGUGUAGCGGUGAAAUGCGUAGAGAUGUGGAGGAAUACCGAAGGCGAAGGCAGCCCCUUGGGAAUGUACUGACGCUCAUGUGCGAAAGCGUGGGGAGCAAACAGG
rnacentral:rRNA from 1 species